CCAAUGACCGGUUCAAAUGCUCUCUGCGAAGGUUAUGGGGCGUGCCAAAGCACCAUACCCACAACCCUAAUCCUGGUGGGGUUCAUGAGGAGGCGGUGAAGGUUGAUGAAACAUAACGGGGUUUUGGUUUGGGCCUUUCCCCCUGCACAAAAAGGCUCACGAGAGAUGCGCGUUGAAACCUCAUCAUGAACGCAUGGCUCAUGCAAGCUUGUAGGGUGCGGUCAGCGCUUAAGUGAGGCUUGCCUCAUUUAUGAAAUGGUUCGCCCAUGACUGCUGACUGCGACCUCGCUUGUCGUGGUGAGCAUGUUUUA
rnacentral:telomerase_RNA from 1 species